UUUAUUGAACUGGAAUGAAAGGCUGAACAAAUACAAAAUUUUUUGAUCUAAGAAAUUAAAAUUUUUAAUUUAUGUAAAAAUACAUAAAUAAUUAAAAGGGACGAUAAGACCCUAAAAGCUUUAUCAUUAAAAUUUUUAUAAUUAUUAUAAUUUGAAAUUAAAAGGUGGUUUAACUGGGGCGGUUGUUUUUGUAACAAAUAUUUUUUUUACACAUAGGAUUUAAGGUUCUUAAGAUUAGGAUAAAUUGUAUAAGUUACUUUAGGGAUAACAGCGUAAUAUUAAUUGGGAGACCUUAUUUACAUUAUUGAUUGCGACCUCGAUGUUGAAUUAAAUUUUUCUAUAUGAAGCAGAAAUUAUAUAUGAAAGUUUGUUCAACUUUUAAAAUUUUACAUGAUCUGAGUUCAAA
rnacentral:rRNA from 1 species